UCCUUUCUAUCAGUGUACUACGCCCCCCCCCCCAAAAAAAACUAUUGUUUUUAAUGGCUCUAGUUGUGACAGAAUCACUGGUUAAAUUCCUACACGUGAUGAUUGCUGUUUAAAAAGGAAAUUAUUUAAAUAUGAAUUCUUACCUGUCAGACAUCACAUCAUUGGAGGCAGUAGCAAUUAUGAACCCAACAAUAGUAGCCAGAGUUGCAUGGAUGGAGGACAGCAACCUUGUGAAGAGAUGGAAUAGAUGAGAUGAGGCAAUGAAAGUGCGCACAAUUGGUUUUUCAUUUGUUCUAAUAUUAAUUUAAAAUAGCAAACAAAUGUUAUAUUAAUAUAUUGGUGCCAGGUAAAGGUUUAUGUAGACAAUAUAGGGUACGUUAGUGAUUAUACAUUUCUAGAUAGGCUUCAUUUAGUGUAUUUUAAUUCCAUUGCUAAUUUGGAAAUACAUUAUUUUCGGAUGCAUGUACGUUUUUAUUUGGACCAUUUUUUGGAAGUCCAUCUGUCGCUCAGUGAAACGCCAUUCUUUGCAUCAGUACAACACGCCUGACUGCAGGACCACUUAUUCAAGACCUGCAGUUGUCUCAGGGGUGCCCUACUGAACCAGCAAGCAAAGACAUCAGGAUGGAUUAGAGCUUUGAUUUUGCUCAACAAGUGCACUAUCCUUCUUACCCUAUGCAGCCAGGUCCCAUCUACUUUUUAACUCCUCGCAGGUGUGGCUUGUUUGGUGUCUGCUGUGAAGGAAUGCCACAACAAGUCAACUACUUGACUGAUGAAGGCCUGUCAUCCAGCAAAGGCAGCAGCGCAGUCAUCAAAUACAUGCACCAUUUCUUCACCAACUACGGAGUUGGGGAAACACGUGGGGACCUGAAUUGUGAUAACUGCAGUGGCCAAAACAAGAACAAGUUUGUGCUCUGGUAUUGUGCCUGGCGGAUCAUGCACAAGAUCCACCACAGUCUGGACCUUCACUUCCUGAUCAGAGGCCACAUCAAGUUUGCUGGUGCUUCGGCCUCAUCAAGCAGCCCUUCAGAAAGACCAGAGUGAAUACUUUGUCUGAGAUGGUUGGUGUUGUGAAAGACAACACAGUGACAGGGGUCAACAUCCCACAGCUGGUUGGACUGGAGGAUAGUACGGUGCUGGUGGAAGGCUAUGGCUGGCAACCACACCUGACUCCGUACUUCAGGCCGCUGCCACAGAUCAAGCAGUACCAGCA